GACGAACGCUGGCGGCGUGCUUAACACAUGCAAGUCGUACGGUAAGGCCCUUUCGGGGGUCCACGAGUGGCGAACGGGUGAGUAACACGUGAGUAACCUGCCCACAACUUUGGGAUAACGCUAGGAAACUGGUGCUAAUACUGGAUAUGUGCCCCUGCUGCAUGGUGGGGGUUGGAAAGCUCCGGCGGUUGUGGAUGGACUCGCGGCCUAUCAGCUUGUUGGUGGGGUAGUGGCCUACCAAGGCGGCGACGGGUAGCCGGCCUGAGAGGGUGACCGGCCACAUUGGGACUGAGAUACGGCCCAGACUCCUACGGGAGGCAGCAGUGGGGAAUAUUGCACAAGGGGCGCAAGCCUGAUGCAGCAACGCCGCGUGCGGGAUGACGGCCUUCGGGUUGGAAACCGCUUUCAGCAGGGACGAAGCUUUUUGUGACGGUACCUGCAGAAGAAGCACCGGCUAACUACGUG
rnacentral:rRNA from 1 species